rnacentral:misc_RNA from 1 species
UCUCCGUUGGUGAACCAGCGGAGGGAUCAUUACGGAGUUUUUAAACUCCCAAACCCCUGUGAACUUAUACCUUAACUGUUGCUUCGGCGGGUUAACGCCCCGGAAGGCCCAAAAAGCCGCCGGAACCAGGCACCCGCCGGGGGAACCAAACUCUUGUAUUUCUUACUUUGCAUGUCUGUGUGGAAUCAUAAACAAAUGAAUCAAAACUUUCAACAACGGAUCUCUUGGUUCUG